UAAUACGGAGGGUGCAAGCGUUAAUCGGAAUUACUGGGCGUAAAGCGCACGCAGGCGGUCUGUUAAGUCAGAUGUGAAAUCCCCGGGCUCAACCUGGGAACUGCAUUUGAAACUGGCAGGCUUGAGUCUUGUAGAGGGGGGUAGAAUUCCAGGUGUAGCGGUGAAAUGCGUAGAGAUCUGGAGGAAUACCGGUGGCGAAGGCGGCCCCCUGGACAAAGACUGACGCUCAGGUGCGAAAGCGUGGGGAGCAAACAGGAUUAGAUACCCUGGUAGUCCACGCUGUAAACGAUGUCGACUUGGAGGUUGUUCCCUUGAGGAGUGGCUUCCGGAGCUAACGCGUUAAGUCGACCGCCUGGGGAGUACGGCCGCAAGGUUAAAACUCAAAUGAAUUGACGG
rnacentral:rRNA from 1 species